CAAGGUCUUGGACAUGUCUUGGACAUGAGACAUAUGAGCUCAUUUUAAAUAGGGUGCCAAUACUUUAUCAGUUUUAAGAAAAAAUACAGAGAAUGUUGAGUACAAGCUUAAAAUCUUCAGGCAUGUGGUGCACUACACAGCACCUGCAAGAAAAAGAGAUAAAAUAAAGUUCGAGACAGUCAGUACCCUACUGAACAUCACUGAGCCGUACUGUCCGCUAGACACGCUGGGCCAAUCAGUGAUCUGCAGUGCUUCUAGCUCCACCCACAUGCCCCAGAAAAUAAAGCCAUUCUAUUCUAUUCUAUUCUGUGAAAGCUGUUGAGUUCAAUGCUUUCGCACCUGCUUCUGCUCAAUAAGUAAGUUAUUAACCUUUCAACAGGGCACGUUGACACGACAGGAGAAAAAUACUCUGUACAGAGCCGUUUCACUUCAGUAUCCCACAGGAGUAACACCGCCUGACCCGGAUUAAUUCACCAAUAACAUUAUAUAGGAAUUAGGUGUAGAUAUACAUAAUCCAGUAAAUUAGUGUAUUAGUGGAUGAGAAUGAUAUUAAACCUAAGUAUAAAUGUAGUAUAAUCACACCACUGAGUUGCGAAGGUUGGUUCCCACGUUCCAGUUCUCCACCUGUUGCCUCCCCUCUCUCUGUCAGGGUUGGGCUUUACACACACACACACACACACACACACACACCUGCUCCCAGGUGUUGUUUACCAGCACAGCAGGCUGGGAGUCGGGAUUGUCCCUGUCACGCUCAGGUAGUUCCUUCUUCUGUAAAUAAACCUGCAACAAGGUUCAGAAAGACAAUAAACACUAAUAAACACUACUGAUUAUUAAUAAACAGUAAUAAACACUAAUAUACACUACAUUUUAUUAAUAAACACUAAUAUGAAUAAGCACUACUUAUUAUUAAUGAACAGUAAUAAACACUACAUAUUAUUAAUGAGUAAUAAACAGUAAUGAAGGGUGUAGUGCAGCAGGGUUAAACCACAGACAGAGGUGUGAUUUGUGCUGCGUAAAACAGGAACAGAACUGGGAAACUCGUGUGGAAUGUUCUCGUGCCUUAUCUCCCGACUCCCGAGCCGACGCCCAGCUCUACACUUCCUCUUCUCACUCUGAUAACAUGGAAAUUCCUCGACCAAUAAACUUCCCCUGUUCCAGAGAAAAAGAAAAGCGUGUUAAAAAGGGGCGGUGAACUCCGGCGAGGCGGUGAGAAGGCGUGAGAGAGAAUGCUGGAAAGGUCAGAGGAAACGUACAAGAGUUUUUUUCUCUUAGAAAAGCUAACAAUAAUGUGGAAAUCCUGAAGAACCUUCCAGAAACCUACCGAGAGAAAGCGAGUCACCACAACUCUCUGAGAUGAAUGGUUCGAAUAUGUGGAGGUAUGAAAGAGGCCAGCUGUGUGGAGUUAUUGUUGGUGUCAGUAGGAAGCGCUGAUGGACCCUGCAGCAGAACAAAAGCCCCUCGGCAGCUCCAGACUCUCUGGCUCCACUCGAGAUUCUCUCCCACAAGCUGGACUCUGCAGAGCAAUUGUUUCAGCACAGAGCCCCCGCCUCUCUCUCCCUCUCUCUCUCUCUCUCUCUCUCUCUCUCUCUCUCUCUCUCUCUCCUCUCUCUUCCUCUCUCCUACAUCCACCGAUACCCUGACCUGAAACAGCCGGGUCUGAGGAUGUCACUGAAAUGAGGGAGAGGAGAUCCUACACUACCAUGGCUGGGGGCCAAUACUUGCACACCAUUAAAGCAUUCUUUAUGCUUAAUUAAGAUUUUAUCAAGAAAUGCUUCAAUGUGAAUUAAAGACUUUUUAAAAAAAAAAAAAGUUUAAAAUGUGAUAAUAAUAUUAAUUAAAAUGUUGUGUUGUAUUUUAUAUCAAGCUUGUAUUUAUAUGUUUUGUUGCAUGUGAUAUUACACCAGACGAAAGGAACGGAAUGGAUUUGGUCAUUUUUAGAGAACAUAGGCAAAUAAGUAAACACACACUUUUGAUCUUGUCCUAAAUAAAA